rnacentral:lncRNA from 1 species
UUCUCUCUCUCUCAUUCUAACCAUCCAUCAAAAUUUUCAUUAAUGCAUGUAAGGAGCUAUCUGAUUGCAUGCAGUUACAACGAUAAUACAUUCGAUGUUAAAAAAGGUGCAAUUAAUUAAGUCCCACUCUUGUAGGAAAAAAAAAAACUUAUAUUAGGAGUAAUUUUUAUCACUGCACAUAUAAAAUGACAAAAUUUAUAAAUAUAAUUUCAUCUGCAUAUAUACAACCCAAUAGAUUAUUUAUUAUUACAAUGUUUUGGACUACAUCCAAUAAAAAAGAAAUGCAUAUAAUUAUAAUUGCUAUAUCUUUAAUUUGACGC